GCGGUUGUGGCGAAAUUGGCAUACGCACUAGACUUAGGAUCUAGCGCCUUCGGGCAUAAGGGUUCAAGUCCCUUCAACCGCACCA
rnacentral:tRNA from 1 species